GGAGUUAGCCGGUGCUUCUUCUGUGAGUGAUGUCCUUCCUGCCGGUUAUUGACCCGCAGGCCUUCUUCCUCACUGAAAGUGCUUUACAACCCGAAGGCCUUCUUCACACACGCGGCAUGGCUGGAUCAGGGUUGCCCCCAUUGUCCAAUAUUCCCCACUGCUGCCUCCCGUAGGAGUCUGGGCCGUGUCUCAGUCCCAGUGUGGCUGAUCAUCCUCUCAGACCAGCUACGGAUCGUCGCCUUGGUGAGCCGUUACCUCACCAACCAGCUAAUCCGACAUAGGCUCAUCCGAUAGCGCGAGGCCCGAAGGUCCCCCGCUUUCCCCCGUAGGGCGUAUGCGGUAUUAGCCUGGGUUUCCCCAGGUUAUCCCCCACUACCGGGCAGAUUCCUAUGCAUUACUCACCCGUCCGCCGCUCGCCACCAGGGAGCAAGCUCCCCGUGCUGCCGCUCGACUUGCAUGUGUUAGGUCGUCGCCGCCACGCGUCUAAUACUGAGCCGACGAGUACAAACUACUCGA
rnacentral:rRNA from 1 species